rnacentral:tRNA from 1 species
UCCCUGGUGGCUCAGUGGUAAAGAAUCUGCCUGUAAUGCAGGAGACCCGGGUUUGAUCCCUGGGUUGGGAA